GUUGUGCGAGGAUUUGUGAUGUAUUUUUGGUCUUUGGUAUUGGUCCCCGAAAUAUAAUGUGAUUUGAUUCGUUAAUAAUUUGACAUGGCUGUUAUGUGGAGAAGGGAGAAAAUAACUUGGAUGCUUUAAAAUGGAAGAAUUAACGAAAUGGUGUGUUGUGUACAGUUUCGGGAAUGUCCAAUACGAUUUUGUAGGUGUAACUCUUUGUUGGUAGGAGUCAAAUGUUAUCCCAUGAAGAAGUUUCUGUGGGUGUAAUGAAGAACCUGCCCAUGUGUGAGGACCAAAGUGAGGAGUUUCCCGGAAGUCCAACUCUGCCUGGUGACUUCAAGAAACUGGACACUCAUUUUGGGGUCUGCAAGAAGUUCUGUUACCUACUUCCACUGGGUUUGAACUGAACAAGGAGGAUCAAGGAAGCCACCUCUCCCCCCCAGCAUGGAUGGCCUACAGUGGGGCUGUUGACUUGAGCCAAGGGAGGGAACCCGGAAAAUUCUGCCGUCUUCGUGCAUACCAGUUGUGAGGAGUCUCCAAAGGAAAGGUGUGACAUGUCUGUACCAGUGAGUUUUGAAGUUUCACAGUGGUGAAGGAGUUCUCUGGCAUUCCAGUGGAGAGAUUGCUGAAGAAGGAUGAUCCAGGAACCUCACCCAUCUCGCCCCUAUGCAUAUCAUCUUUGAGGAGACUGUUGGCUUGAAACUGAAGGACACACUGGAAUCUCUCCCUCUCACGAACUACAAGGAAUUGCUGUAGGAAAGUAAAUGAAUACAUCAAGAGACAAGAGUGCAAAUCAGGUGUGAUGUGUGUAUCAGUUGGCUUAUGGAGACAAGGUUGUGGAGAACACUGGGAAGCUUAUGGAUGGCUUCACACUGGAGAGGAUAUGUAUGGGGGUGCCACAAAAUUUAAUUUCUCAGGAG